rnacentral:rRNA from 1 species
AUUGAACGCUGGCGGAAUGCUUUACACAUGCAAGUCGAACGGCAGCACGGACUUCGGUCUGGUGGCGAGUGGCGAACGGGUGAGUAAUGUAUCGGAACGUGCCCAGUCGUGGGGGAUAACGUAGUGAAAAUUACGCUAAUACCGCAUACGAUCUAUGGAUGAAAGCGGGGGAUCGCAAGACCUCGCGCGAUUGGAGCGGCCGAUAUCAGAUUAGGUAGUUGGUGGGGUAAAGGCCCACCAAGCCAACGAUCUGUAGCUGGUCUGAGAGGACGACCAGCCACACUGGAACUGAGACACGGUCCAGACUCCUACGGGAGGCAGCGGUGGGGAAUUUUGGACAAUGGGCGGAAGCCUGAUCCAGCCAUUCCGCGUGCAGGAUGAAGGCCCUCGGGUUGUAAACUGCUUUUGUACAGAACGAAAAGGUUUCUACUAAUACUAGGAGCUCAUGACGGUACUGUAAGAAUAAGCACCGGCUACUACGUGCCAGCCGCCGCCGUAA